UACAGAGACUGCAAGCGUUUAUUCGGAUUCACUGGGCGUAAAGGGUGCGCAGGCGGUUGGGUGUGUCAGAUGUGAAAUCCCGAGGCUUAACCUCGGAACUGCGUCUGAAACUACUCGACUAGAGUACUGGAGAGGGAACGGAAUUCACGGUGUAGCAGUGAAAUGCGUAGAUAUCGUGAGGAACACCAGAGGCGAAGGCGGUUUCCUGGACAGUUACUGACGCUCAGGCACGAAAGCAUGGGGAGCAAAAGGG
rnacentral:rRNA from 1 species